GGGCGCUGCCCUUAAAUGCAGUCGAACGGCAGCACGGGUGCUUGCACCUGGUGGCGAGUGGCGAACGGGUGAGUAAUACAUCGGAACAUGUCCUGUAGUGGGGGAUAGCCCGGCGAAAGCCGGAUUAAUACCGCAUACGAUCUACGGAUGAAAGCGGGGGACCUUCGGGCCUCGCGCUAUAGGGUUGGCCGAUGGCUGAUUAGCUAGUUGGUGGGGUAAAGGCCCACCAAGGCGACGAUCAGUAGCUGGUCUGAGAGGACGACCAGCCACACUGGGACUGAGACACGGCCCAGACUCCUACGGGAGGCAGCAGUGGGGAAUUUUGGACAAUGGGCGAAAGCCUGAUCCAGCAAUGCCGCGUGUGUGAAGAAGGCCUUCGGGUUGUAAAGCACUUUUGUCCGGAAAGAAAUCCUGAGGGCUAAUAUCCUUCGGGGAUGACGGUACCGGAAGAAUAAGCACCGGCUAACUACGUGCCAGCAGCCGCGGUAAUACGUAGGGUGCGAGCGUUAAUCGGAAUUACUGGGCGUAAAGCGUGCGCAGGCGGUUUGUUAAGACCGAUGUGAAAUCCCCGGGCUCAACCUGGGAACUGCAUUGGUGACUGGCAAGCUAGAGUAUGGCAGAGGGGGGUAGAAUUCCACGUGUAGCAGUGAAAUGCGUAGAGAUGUGGAGGAAUACCGAUGGCGAAGGCAGCCCCCUGGGCCAAUACUGACGCUCAUGCACGAAAGCGUGGGGAGCAAACAGGAUUAGAUACCCUGGUAGUCCACGCCCUAAACGAUGUCAACUAGUUGUUGGGGAUUCAUUUCCUUAGUAACGUAGCUAACGCGUGAAGUUGACCGCCUGGGGAGUACGGUCGCAAGAUUAAAACUCAAAGGAAUUGACGGGGACCCGCACAAGCGGUGGAUGAUGUGGAUUAAUUCGAUGCAACGCGAAAAACCUUACCUACCCUUGACAUGGUCGGAACCUUGGAGAGAUCUGAGGGUGCUCGAAAAGAAACCGAUACACAGGUGCUGCAUGGCUGUCGUCAACUCCUGG
rnacentral:rRNA from 1 species